CCUACGGGAGGCAUCAGUGAGGAAUAUUGGUCAAUGGCCGGAAGUCUGAACCAGCCAAGCAGCGUGAAGGACGAAUGUGCCAAGCGUUGUAAACUUCUUUUGUCAAGGAAUAAAACGAGGCUCGAGAGCCUUUUUGCGUGUACUUUAUGAAUAAGCAUCGGCUAACUCCGUGCCAGCAGCCGCGGUAAUACGGAGGAUGCGAGCGUUAUCCGGAUUUAUUGGGUUUAAAGGGUGCGUAGAUGGGUUGUUAAGUCAGUUGUAAAAGUUCGGGGCUCAACCCUGAAAGUGCCAUUGAUACUGGCUGUCUUGAGAACAGUUGAGGUAGGCGGAAUGCGUGGUGUAGCGGUGAAAUGCUUAGAUAUUACGAAGAACCCCGAUUGCGAAGGCAGCAUACCA
rnacentral:rRNA from 1 species